rnacentral:rRNA from 1 species
UAGGGAAUAUUGGGCAAUGGGCGGAAGCCUGACCCAGCCACGCCGCGUGCAGGAAGACGGCCCUCUGGGUUGUAAACUGCUUUUGAUUGGGAAGAAAGCAGCUCAUGCGUGAGAAUUUGACGGUACCAAUCGAAUAAGCCACGGCUAACUACGUGCCAGCAGCCGCGGUAAUACGUAGGUGGCGAGCGUUAUCCGGAUUUAUUGGGUUUAAAGGGAGCGUAGGCGGCUGAUUAAGUCAGCGGUGAAAGGUAGCAGCUUAACUGUUUUACAUGCCGUUGAUACUGGUUAGCUUGAGUUGACAGAAGGCAGAUAGAAUUCCUGGUGUAGCGGUGAAAUGCUUAGAUACCAGGAGGAAUACCGAUUGCGAAGGCAGUCUGCUGCAGUCACACUGACGCUGAGGCUCGAAGGUGCGGGGAUCAAACA